rnacentral:rRNA from 1 species
CCUACGGGCGGCAGCAGUGGGGAAUAUUGCGCAAUGGGCGAAAGCCUGACGCAGCGACGCCGCGUGAGGGAUGAAGGUCUUCGGAUCGUAAACCUCUGUCAGCAGGGAAGCACGGUCACUGUGCUAAUCAGCAGUGAAUUGACGGUACCUGCAAAGGAAGCACCGGCUAACUCCGUGCCAGCAGCCGCGGUAAUACGGAGGGUGCGAGCGUUAAUCGGAAUUACUGGGCGUAAAGCGCUCGUAGGCGGUAUGUCAAGUCAAGGGUGAAAUCCCCGCGCUCAACGUGGGAACUGCCUUUGAAACUGGCAAACUGGAGUGUGUGAGAGGAUAGUGGAAUUCGAGGUGUAGGAGUGAAAGCCGUAGAUAUCUGGAGGAACAUCAGUGGCGAAGGCGACUAUCUGGCACAUAACUGACGCUGAGGAGCGAAAGCGUGGGUAGCAAACAGGAUUAGAUACCCCAGUAGUC